rnacentral:rRNA from 1 species
GGUGAACAUGGGAAGGAUCAUUG